UUUUCCUUAUUUCCCAGGGGGUUAAGCCGGGAACUUUAAGGAUACUCCCAGUGACAAACUGGAGGAAGGCGGGGACGACGUCAAGUCAUCAUGGCCCUUACGACCAGGGCUACACACGUGCUACAAUGGUCGGUACAAAGGGUUGCUACCUAGCGAUAGGAUGCUAAUCUCAAAAAGCCGAUCGUAGUCCGGAUUGGAGUCUGCAACUCGACUCCAUGAAGUCGGAAUCGCUAGUAAUCGCGGAUCAGAAUGCCGCGGUGAAUACGUUCCCGGGCCUUGUACACACCGCCCGUCACACCAUGGGAGUUUGUUGCACCAGAAGUAGGUAGUCUAACCGCAAGGAGGACGCUUACCACGGUGUGGCAGAUGACUGGGGUGAAGUCGUAACAAGGUAGCCGUAGGGGAACCUGCGGCUGGAUCACCUCCUUAA
rnacentral:rRNA from 1 species